GACGAACCGUCCAAACGUUAUUCGGAAUCACUGGGCUUAAAGGGUGCGUAGGCGGCGCGGAAAGUUGGGUGUGAAAUCCACUGGCUUAACUGGUGGCUUGCUUUCGAUACGGGCAGACUGGAGGUAUGCAGGGGAGAACGGAAUUCCUGGUGUAGCGGUGAGAUGCGCAGAUAUCAGGAGGAACACCGGUGGCGAAGGCGGUUCUCUGGGCAUGUCCUGACGCUGAGGAGCGAAAGUGUGGGGAGCGAACAGG
rnacentral:rRNA from 1 species